GGAGAGGUCGCAUAGCGGUCUAGUGCGUACGCUUGGAGAGCGUAUGUGGGCGCAAGCUCACCGAGGGUUCGAAUCCCUCCCUCUCCGCUA
rnacentral:tRNA from 2 species